rnacentral:tRNA from 1 species
GGGUAUGGCUCAGUGGUAGAGCAUGUGCUUAGCAUGCAUAAGGUCCUGGGUUCAAUCCCCAGUACCUCCA